CGUUCCCUUCCCGUCGCCUGUGACCUCCAUUACCGGAGCUUCCACCUCCCGCCUCCGCUCUGAACGACGUCCCCGGCCCUGUUUUCGGCUGCCGAUUGAAGAAACAAACAUCGCUAGGGGCUGCUCCAAGACUCAUCCAAGAACUUAACUGAAGAUGGAUGGUGUCAAUGAAGGCUCAUUCUUUUGCACUUCUUCUAGGCUGAUAUAUGAUGGCUAUGAAGAUAGAUGGUGUUGCUCACAGCAAUUUGUUUAGCACUUAGAUGAUGCUUCACACUUUUGUUAAUGCAUACUUUGCUAUAAUGUAACUAAUAUGAACCAAUUAAGGUUGUUAUUGAUACGAUGUGGAGACAUUAUCAAUUUGAUACGGGCA